rnacentral:rRNA from 1 species
CCUACGGGAGGCAGCAGUGAGGAAUAUUGGUCAAUGGGAGAGAUCCUGAACCAGCCAAGCCGCGUGAGGGAAGACGGCCCUAUGGGUUGUAAACCUCUUUUGUCGGAGAACAAAACCCGGGACGUGUCCCGUACUGCGUGUAUCCGAAGAAAAAGCAUCGGCUAACUCCGUGCCAGCAGCCGCGGUAAUACGGAGGAUGCGAGCGUUAUCCGGAUUUAUUGGGUUUAAAGGGUGCGUAGGCGGUCCGUUAAGUCAGCGGUAAAAUUGCGGGGCUCAACCCCGUCGAGCCGUUGAAACUGGCAGACUUGAGUUGGCGAGAAGUACGCGGAAUGCGCGGUGUAGCGGUGAAAUGCAUAGAUAUCGCGCAGAACUCCGAUUGCGAAGGCAGCGUACCGGAGCCAGACUGACGCUGAGGCACGAAAGCGUGGGGAUCGAACAGGAUUAGAUACCCCUGUAGUC